AGUGAACGCUGGCGGUAGGCCUAACACAUGCAAGUCGAACGGCAGCACAGUAAGAGCUUGCUCUUACGGGUGGCGAGUGGCGGACGGGUGAGGAAUACAUCGGAAUCUACUUUUUCGUGGGGGAUAACGUAGGGAAACUUACGCUAAUACCGCAUACGACCUACGGGUGAAAGCAGGGGAUCUUCGGACCUUGCGCGAUUGAAUGAGCCGAUGUCGGAUUAGCUAGUUGGCGGGGUAAAGGCCCACCAAGGCGGCGAUCCGUAGCUGGUCUGAGAGGAUGAUCAGCCACACUGGAACUGAGACACGGUCCAUACUCCUACGGGAGGCAGCAGUGGGGAAUAUUGGACAAUGGUCGCAAGCCUGAUCCAGCCAUACCGCGUGGGUGAAGAAGGCCUUCGGGUUGUAAAGCCCUUUUGUUGGGAAAGAAAAGCAGCAGGUUAAUACCCCGCUGUUCUGACGGUACCCAAAGAAUAAGCACCGGCUAACUUCGUG
rnacentral:rRNA from 1 species